rnacentral:rRNA from 1 species
AAUUUUUUUAAUUAAUAAAAAUUAUGUUUGUAAUUUAUUUUUUUAUAAAAGUAUUUUAUUUAUUUUUUGUUUUAGUAUUGAGUAAAAAUAAAUUUUUAGAUUUAUAGUUAAUUAGUAUUGUAAAAGAAAUUUAAUAAAUUUAAAAAAGAUUUAUUUAGUACCUUUUGUAUCAGGGUUAAUUAAAAUUAUUAAUUUAUUAUUAAUUUCUCAAAAUUUAUAGAGUUAAUUUUAUUAUUAAGUUAUUGUUUAAAAAAUAUUUAAAAAAUAAUUUUAGUUUUUAGAUUUAAUUUCGUUAUGAUAUAUUUAGUUAUUUAAGAUUUAAAUUAAAUUUAUAAUUUUAAUAGUUAUAUUUAUUUAUUUUAUAAUUUAUAUUUUAAAUUUAAAUUAUUUUAGGGAUAAGCUUAAAAUUUAUAUAUAAUAAUUUAUAGGGAUUAAUAUUUUAUAGGAAUAAAAAUUUUUAUUUAAGUUUGUAAAAAUUUGUUAUUAAUUUAAAUUUAAUUUAUUAUAAUUUUUAUUUAUUUUUUAUAUUAAAUUUUAUAAUAUAAUAUUUUUAUUAUAGUAAUAAUGAUUAAAUUAGUAUAAUUAAUAUUUAUUAAUUAUGAAUUCGGCAAAAAUUUAUUUUCAUCUGUUUAACAAAAACAUUGUAUUAAUUUUUAUUUAAUAUAGGAUCUGCUCAAUGAAAAUUUUUUAAAUAGCUGCAGUAUUUUGACUGUGCAAAGGUAGCAUAAUAAUUAGUCUUUUAAUUGGGGACUUGAAUGAAAGAUUUGAUGAAAAAUAAACUUUAUUAUUAAUAUAUUUAAAAUUUUAUUUUUAAGUAAAAAAGCUUAAAUUGUUUAAAGGGACGAUAAGACCCUAUAAAACUUUAUAAUUAUUAAAUAUUUAUAUUUAUUUGUUAAAUUAUUAUUUAAAUUUUAAUAAUUAUUUUAUUGGGGUGAUAAAAAAAUUUUAUUAACUUUUUUUAAAAUUUUACAUUAUUUAAUGAAUUUUUGAAUUAAAAUUUUUAAUUAUAGGAAAAAGUUACUUUAGGGAUAACAGCGUAAUUAAUUUUUUAAGUUCUAAUUUUAAAAUUAGUUUGCGACCUCGAUGUUGAAUUAAGAUUAUUCUUAGGUGCAAAAUUUUAAGUAUUAGGUCUGUUCGACCUUAAAUCUUACAUG